rnacentral:rRNA from 1 species
CUUAGUGGCGGACGGGUGAGUAACGCGUGGGGAACCUGCCCUGUACAGGGGGAUAACACUUAGAAAUAGGUGCUAAUACCGCAUAAGCGCACAGUAUCGCAUGAUACAGUGUGAAAAACUCCGGUGGUACAGGAUGGACCCGCGUCCGAUUAGCUGGUUGGCGGGGUAACGGCCCACCAAGGCGACGAUCAGUAGCCGGCCUGAGAGGGUGAACGGCCACAUUGGGACUGAGACACGGCCCAAACUCCUACGGAAGGCAGCAG